CCCACGCACGCGCGCACAACUUUUGCAGCCUCCACGACAAGUGCUUUUGUGUGUGUGUGUGCGCGCGCGCGCGCGAUGUUAAAAGCGCGGAAAGAGUGAAAAGAAGAAAAAGGAAAAUGACUUCCAAGAGAUCGGGCAUGGAUGACUUCCUCGCCGGAUGGGUCGGAGGGGCAUCCAGCGUGGUGGUGGGACAUCCGCUGGACACCGUCAAGACGCGACUGCAGGCGGGCCAAGGCUACAAAAACAUGACCGACUGCAUUGUCGCCAUCUACAGGAAGGAGACGGCGGCGGGCUUCUUCAAGGGGAUGUCGUUCCCGCUGGCCACCGUCACGGCGUACAACUCGCUGGUCUUCGGCUUCUUCAGCAACGCCCAGCGCUUCAUCGGCCGGCGCCGCCACGGCGACGAGCGCCACCCGCCGGGCCUGGCGGACGUGGCGGCGGCCAGCGUGCUGACGGGGGCGGCGUCGGUGAGCCUGGGCGCCCCCGUGGACCUGGUGAAGAUCCGGCUGCAGAUGCAGACCCACGGCGCCGCGCCGGCGGACGGUUUCCAGCUGGUGUCCCACAAGAUGGCGGCGGCGGCGGCGGCCCCGGCGGGCGCGCGCUCCCUGCACGUGUCCAACGGGGGCGGCGAGCUGUACCGCGGUCCGCUGCACUGCGUGAGCAGCAUCGUGCGGCGCGAGGGCCUCCCGGGCCUGUACCGCGGGGGGGCCGCCAUGCUGCUCAGGGACGUGCCCGGCUACGCCCUCUACUUCGUGCCCUACGCCGUCUUCUGCGACCUCCUGAAGGCCGACGGCGCCUCGCAGCCUCACCCUUGCUCCAUUUGGCUGGCCGGCGGACUCGCAGGUUCCAUUUCCUGGGUGACGGCCACGCCCGCCGACGUGGUGAAGAGCCGCCUGCAGGCCGACGCCCGCCUGCGCCGGAAGUACAACGGCAUCCUCCACUGCAUCCGGGAAAGCUACAAGACGGAAGGCGCGCAGGUGAGGACGCCCCCUGCCGGCCGCCGCCGGCAUUACGUUCGAUGGGCCUGCGGACGCUUUGAAUUUCCGUGACCUUUGGACCCAACCCUCAGCCGAGCGCCGGUUUUAAACAACGAGUGCAAACAGCAUUUGAUAGCAGCUACUAAACAAAUCCACUUGUGUUCUUCCGCGGCGUGUCGGUGAACGCCAUCCGAGGCUUCCCCAUGAGCGCCACCAUGUUCCUGGCCUACGAGCUCUCGCUGCAGUUCUUCCAGAAGUUUUAGGGACAAGUCGUUACCGUGGCGACGACUCUUCACCC